rnacentral:rRNA from 1 species
UACCAGCACCCCGAGUGGUCGGGACGUUUUAUUGGGCCUAAAGCAUCCGUAGCCGGUUCUACAAGUCUUCCGUUAAAUCCACCUGCUUAACAGAUGGGCUGCGGAAGAUACUAUAGAGCUAGGAGGCGGGAGAGGCAAGCGGUACUCAGUGGGUAGGGGUAAAAUCCGUUGAUCCAUUGAAGACCACCAGUGGCGAAGGCGGCUUGCCAGAAUGCGCUCGACGGUGAGGGAUGAAAGCUGGGGGAGCAAACCGG